rnacentral:rRNA from 1 species
UGGGGAAUAUUGGGCAAUGGGGGAAACCCUGACCCAGCAACGCCGCGUGAGGGAAGAAGGUUUUCGGAUUGUAAACCUCUGUCCCAUGGGAAGAAAAAAAUGACGGUACCAUGGGAGGAAGCCCCGGCUAACUACGUGCCAGCAGCCGCGGUAAUACGUAGGGGGCGAGCGUUGUCCGGAAUUAUUGGGCGUAAAGGGUGCGUAGGCGGCCUAUUAGGUUAAAUGUGAAAACGCUGUGCUUAACAUGGCGACUGCAUUUAAAACGAAUGGGCUUGAGUGUGGGAGAGGUAAGUGGAAUUCCCGGUGUAGCGGUGAAAUGCGUAGAGAUCGGGAGGAACACCAGUGGCGAAGGCGACUUACUGGACCACAACUGACGCUGAGGCACGAAAGCGUGGGGAGCAAACA